UGGGGAAUAUUGGGCAAUGGGCGAAAGCCUGACCCAGCAACGCCGCGUGAGGGAAGAAGGUUUUCGGAUUGUAAACCUCUGUCCUAAGUGACGAAGAAAGUGACGGUAGCUUAGGAGGAAGCCCCGGCUAACUACGUGCCAGCAGCCGCGGUAAUACGUAGGGGGCGAGUGUUGUUCGGAAUGACUGGGCGUAAAGGGCGCGUAGGCGGCCGGGUAAGUUGGGAGUGAAAUUCCUGCUGUUAAGGUGGGAACUGCUUUCAAAACUGCCUGGCUUGAGUGCGGAAGAGGUAAGUGGAAUUCCCAGUGUAGCGGUGAAAUGCGUAGAGAUUGGGAGGAACACCAGUGGCGAAGGCGACUUACUGGGCCGUAACUGACGCUGAUGCGCGAAAGCGUGGGGAGCAAACA
rnacentral:rRNA from 1 species